rnacentral:lncRNA from 1 species
CUGACUGGUGGGAUGUAUAAAUACCGAGCCGCGUCAAAGAGUAUUCAUCAAAAUACACAUAAAAAGAAACAGAGGUGAAAAUAAACCGCAAACAGAUAAUUAAACUAAAAAAUUUAAAGAGUAUGACAAAGCCAUGGUGCGAAUCGAAAACAUCGAUAAGACGCACAUCUAACCAGGAUCGAGUAACAAACCCCACAUAAAACCUCUGUGGUGUAAGUAUGACGCGUUAAGAAAAUCACAUUUGGUGUUAAAUGAGUAGUAUAAACGGCCGUGAAGGUUACAAAUAUGAUGUUAAUUGUCUUCUAAUUGUUGAAAUUAUAAUUCUUAAAAUCAAAAGUUUCACAUCUGAAAAUAAAGUUACGGACAGUCUGCUUAGUUUCAAUUAAAAAGUUACGGAUGUCUUGUGCAUUUUUAAAAGUUGGCCUUGCGCUUUAGUGAACUCUAUAUUAACAAAUUUAUGGUAAUUGUUAGUUAUUUCUUUAUUCAAUAAUUCUAUAAAUAUUUACAUUCUGUAUGAUAAACGUAUCAAAAGGUACAUUUUGUAUGAAUUAAAUAUCAACGAGUUUAGAGUCCGCCAUCUUGGGCUGUGGGUAACUUAAGUUACCCACAGCCGUUUAAGCACAGUGAUAAUCUUAUUUAGCAACCAUGUUAAAACAAUUCAUUCACACCAAGGCUAAUAUAUUAUUCUUCGCAUUUCUCUUUAACUUCACACGAGCCAAACAAUUUCAAACACAAUCCAAUCCUGACAAUAAAUAUUAAAUUUACAAUUUAAAGAAAAUACCCAAUAUGAAAUAUAUUUUUUUAAUGUCAAUAACUGUUAAUUCAGAAAUUAUUGUGAAAAAUGCAACAGGGUAAUAAUCGCAAUAAUUAAAACUCGCAUUUUGAAACUUUUUAAAUGAAUUAAACCGGAUUUUU